AUUGAACGCUGGCGGCAUGCCUUACACAUGCAAGUCGAACGGUAACAGGUCUUCGGAUGCUGACGAGUGGCGAACGGGUGAGUAAUACAUCGGAACGUGCCUAGUAGUGGGGGAUAACUACUCGAAAGAGUGGCUAAUACCGCAUGAGAUCUACGGAUGAAAGCAGGGGAUCGCAAGACCUUGUGCUACUAGAGCGGCCGAUGGCAGAUUAGGUAGUUGGUGGGAUAAAAGCUUACCAAGCCGACGAUCUGUAGCUGGUCUGAGAGGACGAUCAGCCAGACUGGGACUUAGAAACGGCCCAGACUCCUACGGGAGGCAGCAGUGGGGAAUUUUGGACAAUGGGCGCAAGCCUGAUCCAGCAAUGCCGCGUGCAGGAUGAAGGCCUUCGGGUUGUAAACUGCUUUUGUACGGAACGAAAAGCCCCGGGUUAAUACCCUGGGGUCAUGACGGUACCGUAAGAAUAAGCACCGGCUAACUACGUGCCAGCCGCCGCCGUAA
rnacentral:rRNA from 1 species